CCGGUCUAUAGGUAGACCUUUUAGUGUUGUCCGGUCCCUACCGUACAAAAAUUAUUUACUUUAUCUUCUAAAAUGAACAACAUUAAAUCUUCAUUUUAAUGGCAAAUUUUAAUUUUUUUUAUUAUUUUUUUUUAUUUUUGUAUAUGAAUAUCAAUAGGUGUAGACAUUGACACAUGUAUAUAACUUGAAGGCAAAGAUAGCAACUAUGACAUUGCAUGAGCUUCAAGGAACCAUAAAAUUAUACUUUGUAGGGUCUCAG
rnacentral:lncRNA from 1 species